AGCGUUACGUAAUUUGUGUACGUCGCUCAAACCCUCUUGCGUUACGAUGCGGUUUCCAAAGAAUCCGAUUGUGGGGAAACUGUGGAUGGACUUUUGCUGUUUUCAGGCAUACUAUUCUAUUACCGGAAACACCCGAUUUUGCAGUGUAAGUAAAUUAGAAAAUGAUUGCGAGUGAUGGAUAAAAUGAUUUUUUUUAUUUUGAAUAGCUUCAUGUGAAUUACGAGCUGGAUUUGACUUGGCCGCAGCAAACGGGAAGCUGAGACCUAUACCUGGUGCACCUCAAGGUUUCCUAUGCCGAACUUAAGUGAAACAAACCAGCAUGGAAGAGAGACUGCUUCUGACGUUGUCACUGCUGCUGCUUCUGGACUACUACUGCUGCUGGGAUUACUGUUGCUCCUGGGAUUACUGUUGUUGGUGGGAGUUUUGAUACUGCUGCUGACAUUGCUGCCGACCAUAAAUUGUUUCCUCCAAGCAUUUCCGUGGAAACUAUUACAGGUUCAGAAAGGUUCAAAGGGAUCGGUAGACUUCCUUCAGCGGGAAAGCCAAGACAGAUACCAAUAGUUCAGCAGUUGCGACAUUGAUCGGACAAGCAAGCC